rnacentral:rRNA from 1 species
UACGGGAGGCAGCAGUGGGGAAUUUUGGACAAUGGGGGGCAACCCUGAUCCAGCAAUGCCGCGUGAGUGAAGAAGGCCUUCGGGUUGUAAAGCUCUUUUGUCAGGGAAGAAACGGGGAUUCCUAAUACGAGUCUCUAAUGACGGUACCUGAAGAAUAAGCACCGGCUAACUACGUGCCAGCAGCCGCGGUAAUACGUAGGGUGCAAGCGUUAAUCGGAAUUACUGGGCGUAAAGCGUGCGCAGGCGGUUGUGUAAGACAGGUGUGAAAUCCCCGGGCUUAACCUGGGAAUGGCAUUUGUGACUGCACGGCUAGAGUGUGUCAGAGGGGGGUAGAAUUCCACGUGUAGCAGUGAAAUGCGUAGAGAUGUGGAGGAAUACCGAUGGCGAAGGCAGCCCCCUGGGAUAACACUGACGCUCAUGCACGAAAGCGUGGGGAGCAAACAGGAUUAGAUACCCUGGUAGUCCACGCCCUAAACGAUGUCUACUAGUUGUCGGGUCUUAAUUGACUUGGUAACGCAGCUAACGCGUGAAGUAGACCGCCUGGGGAGUACGGUCGCAAGAUUAAAACUCAAAGGAAUUGACGGGGACCCGCACAAGCGGUGGAUGAUGUGGAUUAAUUCGAUGCAACGCGAAAAACCUUACCUACCCUUGACAUGUACAGAAUCCCGAAGAGAUUUGGGAGUGUUCGAAAGAAAACUGUAACACAGGUGCUGCA